CAAGCCAUGACAAGGGCCACUACCUUGCUCCACUCCCGGGCAAGUCACGACAACGGACACCACUCCACUCUUCAUAACAAAUUCCAUGUGGCGAAUGACCCCUGACGCCACUACUCUCCAUAACAAACUCUGCACGACUCUGAAUGGCCCACUACCAAGCAGUUACAGACGUCGCUGUCAAUCAGUUACGCUCUCCGUCUAUAAAAAUGACCCUC
rnacentral:lncRNA from 1 species